rnacentral:rRNA from 1 species
UACAGAGGUCCCAAGCGUUGUUCGGAUUCAUUGGGCGUAAAGGGUGCGUAGGCGGCCCGGUAAGUCCGCUGUGAAAGUCAAAGGCUCAACCUUUGAAUGCCGGUGGAUACUGUCGGGCUAGAGUCCGGAAGAGGCGAGUGGAAUUCCUGGUGUAGCGGUGGAAUGCGCAGAUAUCAGGAGGAACACCAAUAGCGAAGGCAGCUCGCUGGGACGGUACUGACGCUAAGGCGCGAAAGCGUGGGGAGCGAACGAGG